GCCUGGGUGGCUCAGUGGUUGAGCGUCUGCCUUUGGCUCAGGUCGUGAUCCUGGAGUCCCAGGAUCGAGUCCUGCAUCGGGCU
rnacentral:tRNA from 1 species